rnacentral:rRNA from 1 species
UACGGAAGGUCCGGGCGUUAUCCGGAUUUAUUGGGUUUAAAGGGAGCGUAGGCCGGAGAUUAAGCGUGUUGUGAAAUGUAGAUGCUCAACAUCUGAACUGCAGCGCGAACUGGUUUCCUUGAGUACGCACAAAGUGGGCGGAAUUCGUGGUGUAGCGGUGAAAUGUUUAGAUAUCACGAAGAACUCCGAUUGCGAAGGCAGCUCACUGGAGCGCAACUGACGCUGAAGCUCGAAAGUGCGGGUAUCGAACAGG